rnacentral:tRNA from 1 species
CCGUCGAGCACUCUUUAAAGAGGAUCUCACUACUUCCGAAUGCAACGAUGCUUCUACCCAAGCAACACAGUCCUAC